rnacentral:rRNA from 1 species
GAUUAACGCUGGCGGCGUGCAUAACACAUGCAAGUCGAACGAUGAAACUCAUUAGAUUUCUUCGGAAUGAAACUGAAUGGCUUAGUGGCGAACGGGUGAGUAACGCGUGAGUAACCUGCCUUACACAAGGGGAUAGCCUCUGGAAACGGAGAAUAAUACCCUAUGAAACCAGACAAUCGCAUGAUAAUCUGGUCAAAAUGUUUAGUGGUGUAAGAUGGACUUGCGUCUGAUUAGCUAGUUGGUGAGAUAAAAGCUCACCAAGGCAACGAUCAGUAGCCGGCUUGAGAGAGUGUACGGCCACAUUGGGACUGAGACACGGCCCAGACUCCUACGGGAGGCAGCAGUGGGGAAUUUUGCACAAUGGGGGAAACCCUGAUGCAGCGACGCCGCGUGAUUUAGAAGGCCUUCGGGUUGUAAAAAUCUUUUGUAUAGGAAGAAAAUGACAGUACUAUACGAAUAAGGUCCGGCUAAUUACGUG